UUGCCUGGACAGAAGUUACAGAAGAUGAUGGACUCCGCGUGUCCUUUGCUUGUGAUUUCUGCAAGGUACCAACCUGAACAUUGGGACGAGUUGCAGCCAAAUUUCGCACUGAAGGAGCGUGAUGUGUUGUUACUGGCACGGAUUGAGACUGUUGUUGCAAAGGUGACUGCUCAGAAGGGGAUUCGGCACCUUUAGAAUCAAAUUGUUGCUGUCCCAUAACUUUGGCCGAUCCUAUUGUUGAAUGCGGCAUAGAAGACUGAUUUCUCAUCCUUGCAGCCAAAGAGUUUGAAUUCUUGGGUAAGCCACUAGGAGCUGAAACAAAUGUUUCUGAAUGACCUGACUUCAUAUUGAACUCGGCACUUGGGAGCUGCUUCUGCAACCCCCAUGAUAAUGAUGAAUGGCCCCCUGAUGAUGCAAGCUUCAUGGCCUUAUGUGAAGGUUUCCUUUGCCAUCUUAAAAUUCCAUCUGAGCUCUGGCUUUGUGGCCGAGUUUUAAUUUCACACAGAGUCUGUGCAGCAGCUAAUACUGUCUCAUCAUUUCCUUUUGUAUCAACUUGGCCUCC